UCAGUGGUGUCUGAUGAGCCAGGGCCUGGUC
rnacentral:piRNA from 1 species